rnacentral:rRNA from 1 species
UGGGGAAUAUUGCACAAUGGGCGAAAGCCUGAUGCAGCGACGCCGCGUGAGUGAAGAAGUAUUUCGGUAUGUAAAGCCCUAUCAGCAGGGAAGAAAAUGACGGUACCUGACUAAGAAGCCCCGGCUAACUACGUGCCAGCAGCCGCGGUAAUACGUAGGGGGCAAGCGUUAUCCGGAUUUACUGGUUGUAAAGGGAGCGUAGACGGCGAAGCAAGUCUGAAGUGAAAACCCAGGGCUCAACCCUGGGACUGCUUUGGAAACUGUUUUGCUAGAGGGUCGGAGAGGUGAGUGGAAUUCCUAGUGUAGCGGUGACCUGCGUAGAUAUUAGGAUGAACACCAGUGGCGGAGGCGGCUUACUGGACGAUAACAAACGUUAAGUCUCGAAAGCGUGGGGAGCGAACAGG